AACCUACUUCCUCCGUCCAACAAAAGAUGUCUCAAGUUUGUCGAAAUUUGGAUGUAUCUAGACAUGACUUAGUGUAUAGAUGCAUUCAAAUUUGGUCAAAGUUGAGACAUCCUUUGUUGGACGGAGGGAGUACACA
rnacentral:pre_miRNA from 1 species